AGCAGAUGAUGUUAACAUCUACAUCGACUGAGAUCUUUCGGGGUCUCUGAUGUCCAAAAAAAUCGAGCUUUUUAAAACUGAUGCU
rnacentral:snoRNA from 1 species